AUUGAACGCUGGCGGCAUGCCUAACACAUGCAAGUCGAGCGGAGCGGCGGACGGGUGAGUAAUGCCUAGGAAUCUUCCUUGUAGUUGGGGAUAACGUCCGGAAACGGGCUCUAAUACCGCAUAAUAUCAGAGUAGCCUAGGUCGGAUUGGCUAGUUGGUGGGGUAAAGGCCUACCAAGGCGACGAUCCGUAACUGGUCUGAGAGGAUGAUCAGUCAGACUGGAACUGAGACAAGGGCCAGACUGCUAGGGGAGGCAGCAGUGGUGAAUAUUGGACAAGGGGAGAAAGACUGAUCCAGCUAUGCCGCGGGUGUGAAGAAGGUCUUCGGAGUGUAAAGCACUUUUAGUUGGGAGGCGUUACCAACAGAAUAAGCACCGGCUAACUUCGUGCCAGCCGCCGCGGUAAUGC
rnacentral:rRNA from 1 species